AUUGAACGCUGGCGGCAUGCUUUACACAUGCAAGUCGAACGGUAACAGGCCGCAAGGUGCUGACGAGUGGCGAACGGGUGAGUAAUGCAUCGGAACGUGCCCAGUCGUGGGGGAUAACUACUCGAAAGAGUAGCUAAUACCGCAUACGAUCUAUGGAUGAAAGCGGGGGACCGUAAGGCUUCGCGCGAUUGGUGCGGCCGAUGUCAGAUUAGGUAGUUGGUGGGGUAAAGGCUCACCAAGCCAACGAUCUGUAGCUGGUCUGAGAGGACGACCAGCCACACUGGGACUGAGACACGGCCCAGACUCCUACGGGAGGCAGCAGUGGGGAAUUUUGGACAAUGGGCGCAAGCCUGAUCCAGCAAUGCCGCGUGCAGGAAGAAGGCCUUCGGGUUGUAAACUGCUUUUGUACGGAACGAAACGGCUCUGGUUAAUACCCGGGGCUAAUGACGGUACCGGAAGAAUAAGCACCGGCUAACUACGUG
rnacentral:rRNA from 1 species